rnacentral:rRNA from 1 species
AUUGAACGCUGGCGGCAGGCCUAACACAUGCAAGUCGAACGAGUGGCGGACGGGUGAGUAAUGUCUGGGAAACUGCCUGAUGGAGGGGGAUAACUACUGGAAACGGUAGCUAAUACCGCAUACCAUCGGAUGUGCCCAGAUGGGAUUAGCUAGUAGGUGGGGUAACGGCUCACCUAGACGACGAUCCCUACCUGGUCUGCGAGGAUGAACAGCCACACUGGAACUGAGACACGGUCCAGAUUCCUACGUGAGGCAUCAGUGGGGAAUAUUUCACAAUGGGCGCAAGCCUGAUGCAGCCAUGCCGCGUGUAUGAAGAAGGCCUUCGGGUUGUAAAGUACUUUCAGCGGGGAGGCGUUACCCGCAGAAGAAGCACCGGCUAACUCCGUGCCAGCAGCCGCGGUAAUAC